rnacentral:rRNA from 1 species
UACGAAGGGGGCGAGCGUUGUUCGGAAUUACUGGGCGUAAAGGGCGCGUAGGCGGUUUGGCGAGUCAGGCGUGAAAUUCCCGGGCUUAACCUGGGGGCGGCGCUUGAUACUGCCGGGCUUGAAUUCGGGAGAGGAUGGCGGAAUUCCCAGUGUAGAGGUGAAAUUCGUAGAUAUUGGGAAGAACACCGGUGGCGAAGGCGGCCAUCUGGCCCGGGAUUGACGCUGAGGCGCGAAAGCGUGGGGAGCAAAC